UACGAAGGUGGCAAGCGUUGUUCGGAUUUACUGGGCGUAAAGGGUUCGUAGGCGGUGCGGCAAGUCGGGAGUGAAAUCUCUGGGCUUAACUCAGGGGCUGCUUCCGAAACUGCCGUGCUUGAGUGCGGGAGAGGCGAGUGGAAUUGCAGGUGUAGCGGUGAAAUGCGUAGAUAUCUGCAGGAACACCCGUGGCGAAGGCGGCUCGCUGGACCGCAACUGACGCUGAGGAACGAAAGCUAGGGGAGCAAACAGG
rnacentral:rRNA from 1 species